GGCCACAGCAUCCCUCAUGUCCAGCCUGGCAGGCCAUUUCCUGAGGCCCAAGUCCCGUCUCCCACCCUGACAGCUGUCCCCGAGGGCCAGUCUGGAAGGCAUGAAACCAGUAAUGGAAGGCUGCCCUGCAGUGAUCAGAGGCCCUCCUGGGCUCCCCAUGCCCCCUGCCGACACAGUUCGAUGAGGUUCUGGAUCCCACCCACGUCGAUGAUCUCCCGCCGAAGAUCUAGGGAUGUCUUGCGCACACGCUCUUGGCCCUGCAUGGAGGUGGCUCAUCAAACCCCAUGCUGGGGCCUUGGGGUCCCUGAGCUACGCUGGGGGAGGAGGAUAGAGAGAGCUUCUCAGGAGAGAGAGAAUCCAGGUCUAGCUCUCCCGCCCAGGACUAGGAGAAGCAGAUGAGACCAGGACACAGAGGGGGACCAGGGGACAAGGGGAGACCUGAGGGGACUGCGUAGAAGCUGCCAGCUUUGAGCCUUCACGUAGGUGAAGGGUAGGAGGAGGGACUCUCAGAGGUAACCCUCCGCCCAGGCCUUCAGAAUGGAAUCUGAAUCCUCAGCUUUCCAUGCAGUUUCAUUUGUGUGUGUGUGAGAUCAUACGAGUAAUAUAGAAACAGGGGCACCUGGG